GAUGAACGCUGGCGGCGUGCUUAACACAUGCAAGUCGAACGGUGAAGGCGGAGCUUGCUCUGCUGGAUCAGUGGCGAACGGGUGAGUAACACGUGAACAAUCUGCCCCUGACUCUGGGAUAAGCGCUGGAAACGGCGUCUAAUACUGGAUACGAGCUGCGAAGGCAUCUUCAGCAGCUGGAAAGAACUUCGGUCAGGGAUGAGCUCGCGGCCUAUCAGCUUGUUGGUGAGGUAACGGCUCACCAAGGCGUCGACGGGUAGCCGGCCUGAGAGGGUGACCGGCCACACUGGGACUGAGACACGGCCCAGACUCCUACGGGAGGCAGCAGUGGGGAAUAUUGCACAAUGGGCGAAAGCCUGAUGCAGCAACGCCGCGUGAGGGACGACGGCCUUCGGGUUGUAAACCUCUUUUAGCAGGGAAGAAGCGAAAGUGACGGUACCUGCAGAAAAAGCGCCGGCUAACUACGUG
rnacentral:rRNA from 1 species